rnacentral:lncRNA from 1 species
UUGUAUUGUCUGGGAAGAAAAAGAGAGCAAUAUUGUCGUCACUUGGAGGUGAAGUCUGGAAACUCCUUGGCCAUGAAUCCAACCUUGAAAUCUUUAUCGUAUGGAGAAUUGGCGGCAGAGUUUUGGAAAUAUUAGACACUCUCUCACAUGCUUUUGUAGACAAGUGCGCAGAGAGCGAGCCAUACUCUUUGUCGCCAAUCUGAAAGCAUCCACUAUUAUAAAGGACGAGAAUGGCAAUCAAAAAGGCAUACAUGAGAUGGGUGGCAAAGAAAAAGAAAGAUUAUAUUAAAUUUGUAAAGAAAGGAUGAAUGCCUAAUUAUUAGACAAUAAUUUUGUAUAUGGCCUCUAAAAGUAAGUCCAGCCUCUAAAAGUAAGUCCGAGC